rnacentral:rRNA from 1 species
AUACGGAGGAUGCGAGCGUUAUCCGGAUUUAUUGGGUUUAAAGGGUGCGUAGGCUGUGCUGCAAGUCAGUGGUGAAAGACCUGCGCUCAACGCAGGAAGUGCCAUUGAUACUGCAGUGCUGGAGUACCCCUGCCGUGGGAGGAAUGAGUGGUGUAGCGGUGAAAUGCAUAGAUAUCACUCAGAACACCGAUUGCGAAGGCAUCUCACGAAAGGGCAACUGACGCUGAGGCACGAAAGCGUGGGGAUCAAACAGGCUUAGAUACCCUGGUAGUCCACGCUGUAAACGAUUAUGACUAACUGUCGGCGAUAUACAGUCGGUAGCCAAGCGAAAGCGAUAAGUCAUCCACCUGGGGAGUACGACCGCAAGGUUGAAACUCAAAUGAAUUGACGGGG